GAUGAACGCUAGCGGCAGGCUUAACACAUGCAAGUCGAGGGGUAGAAGGAGCUUGCUCCUUUGAGACCGGCGCACGGGUGCGUAACGCGUAUGCAAUCUACCUUUUGCAGAGGGAUAGCCCAGAGAAAUUUGGAUUAAUACCUCAUAGUAUGUGAGGAUGGCAUCAUUUUCACAUUAAAGUCACAACGGCAAAAGAUGAGCAUGCGUCCCAUUAGCUAGUUGGUAAGGUAACGGCUUACCAAGGCUACGAUGGGUAGGGGUCCUGAGAGGGAGAUCCCCCACACUGGUACUGAGACACGGACCAGACUCCUACGGGAGGCAGCAGUGAGGAAUAUUGGGACAAAUGGGCGCGAAGCCUCGAUCCAGCCACUGCCGCGUGCAGGA
rnacentral:rRNA from 1 species